ACGUACCUUCUCUCUGAUUCGGACGGCGCUGCCACUUUCGAGUGUCUGCCUUAUCAGCUUUCAAUCGCUCGUUACACGCGACCGAUGGCUUUGACGGGUAACGGGGAAUCAGGGUUCGAUUCCGGAGAGGCAGCCUGAGAAACGGCUACCACGUCCAAGGACGGCAGCAGGCACGCAAAUUACCCAAUCCCAGCACCUGGGGGAGGUAGUGACGAAACCUAACGAUGCGGGCGCCCUUCACGGGCCCCGCAAUCGGAAUGAGCACUUUCUAAACAACCUGUUGAGAACCUACUGAAGGGCAAGUCUGGUGCCAGCAGCCGCGGUAAUUCCAGCUUCAGUAGCAUCUAUUAAAGUUGCUGCGGUUAAAAGGCUCGCAGUUGAAUGUCAGUGCCGGGUGUUGGUAGGUGGACGCUGGGGUCUGAGUGUUCCGGAGUCGUGCGUGUGUGUGCCGGGUUUAUUCUCGCGUGCGCGCGUGUGCGUCUCUAUCUCAUGUACCCCCGUCCAUGACAAGCCUCCACGCCUGCGUACACAGUGGUGUCAACCUGUGAGUCGAUUCUGUCGUCUCACACUGGCACCAAUGUCACCCUGAGUAAAUCAGAGUGCUCAAAGCAGUCGUAACGGGCGCAAGCCCUGUGAACACACAUUGUCCUCGUGACAAGGGAUAGUCUUGGUUUUGCAUGGCAUGUCGGAAUACGACGACGGGCGCUGGCUAAGAGUCUCUUCCAGUUGGGUACAACCCAGCCCCGUCGUACUGAUUAAAAGGGCUUGUCGAGGGCAUUAGUAUUGCGGAGCGAGAGGUGAAAUUCUAUGACCU
rnacentral:rRNA from 1 species